AUGAGGAAUACCCGCGGCCCGGGACGGACGGUUUGUGAUGAGUUAUACAGAGCGCGGGGCCGGCGCGGCUGCGGGGCUCCAGGGGCGCGCACGGGCGCAGCGCGCAGAGCGCGGCGGGGCGGCCUCAGGUGCCGUUCCGGCCGCCGGGAGCCGCCCGGGCUGGGCUGGGCUAGGCUGGCGCUUCACCGCGAUCCCGUCCCCGGAGGAGCUGAGAAGAGCACGGCGCUGCCGUGACGGACGGCGACGCGGCAGCCACAGCUGGGAACCAUUCGGUUUCGUAUUUUGAUGUGCAAUAAAAAAUUUAGUGCUUAAAACA